rnacentral:rRNA from 1 species
UACGAGGGUGGCGAGCGUUGUUCGGAAUUAUUGGGCGUAAAGGGUGCGUAGGCGGUUUGGUAAGUCUGAUGUGAAAUCUAUGGGCUCAACUCAUAGUCUGCAUCGGAAACUGCCGGGCUUGAGUAUGGGAGAGGUGAGUGGAAUUCCUGGUGUAGCGGUGAAAUGCGUAGAUAUCAGGAGGAACACCUGUGGCGAAAGCGGCUCACUGGACAGGUACUGACACUCAACUACGAAAGCGUGGGGAGCAAACAGG